rnacentral:piRNA from 1 species
UCUGGACUGUAUGGUCUGGAAACAGGGC